UACGAAGGACCCGAGCGUUAUCCGGAUUUAUUGGGCUUAAAGGGUGCGUAGGCGGACACGCAAGUCAGUGGUGAAAUCUCCCAGCUUAACUGGGAAACUGCCAUUGAAACUAUGUGUCUUGAGUACAUUUGAGGCGGGCGGAAUGUGUCAUGUAGAGGUGAAAUUCUUAGAUAUGACACAGAACACCAAUUGCGAAGGCAGCUGGCUACACGAAUAUUGACACUGAUGCACGAAAGCGUGGGGAUCAAACAGG
rnacentral:rRNA from 1 species